UGUGUAGGAGGUCGGGUAAGUCAGGUGUGAAAUCUCAGAGCUUAACUCUGAAACUGCGCUUGAUACUGCUCGGCUAGAGGAUCGGAGGGGGUAACGGAAUUUAUGGUGUAGCAGUGAAAUGCGUAGAUAUCAUAAGGAACACCGGUGGCGAAGGCGGUUACCUGGAAGAUUCCUGACUCUGAAACACGAAAGCCAGGGGAGCAAACG
rnacentral:rRNA from 1 species